rnacentral:lncRNA from 1 species
CUACUGAGGACUCGCCCCCAUGAUGAAGCUCUGUCUGCCUGCCUUGUUUCUGUUGGCUGCGCUAUAUGUGAAUUUUGUCAACUCAAUCAACCCAAACCAAAUCCUGGUGAUGAAGUCCUGUGCCCCGAUGUGCCCAAACAGCACCAUUUCAACUGAUGGACAUGCCAUUUCUGGAUGCAAUGGGAAGGCGGAGACAGAUGCUUCUGCUAGCCUAGUUAUAAGUCGAGGGGUUCUGUGGGUGGGUGUCUCCACCAGCCUCCUAUGGGUGCUCCUCCAAGCUUCCUGGUGAGGAGAUUUUUCUUGUCCUUACCCCCUUGACUUUCCCUAAAGUCUUCUUUCCCAAGAUCUCUUCACUCAGGACAGAACCUCCAACACCAAAGGACAGAUUUCCUCCCAGGAAAAUAGGCCCACAGGACAGGGUCUUGCUCCUUCCCCCAGUUUCUGCAGGGAAUCCAGAAGGGACACUCUGUCCAGUGGCCUGGAUCCUUGGGUAUGAGCUUGGCCAACUCCCAGUAUUACCAUUUCUCUUUUACCUUUCCUCUUCGCUUUCUUACCUGGGAUGCUGAUCUUUUCCCUGCUGUUUUUCUGCCCCUUGAGGAUAGAAAAAAAUUUUCCAUUUGGGGGUGAACAGCCACACUUGGAAGGGGGAGGGAAGAGGUCAUGGGGGAAUUGUGAAAUUUUAAUGUUUUAAUUAAAUAAUCACUUCCUUCUUUCUUCUUUUCUACCUCUGUCCUACUCAACAUCAAAUCCUCUUCCCUUCUUUAAUCCUUGGGAGGCUUAAGAUAACCCCCCUCAAGGCUAGUUAGGGUGGAUGACCUGAUUAAAGGAGGCCUCACUAAAAAGAGCAGCUUUUAAUCAUGCCCCCUUUUUAAAUGGGAUCACCUCAUCAUCACAUGACCAUGUGGCUUGGAGAUGGGAUGGGGGAUGGAGAUGAAAGGUACAUGAUUUCCUCGAACCCAUCCUAUGAGCAAUAUUUGGAGGGGGGAGGAUAGAAGCAUAUCAGGCAUUAAGUUUUCCCUAAAUGAAAAUAGAAUGAGGAACUGGGGUUAGGGUGAAGGUGCCACAUUACCUGAAUCAGAGAUGUGCCUACCUACCUCACAGGGCUGUUGUGAGAGGAAAAACAAU